UACACCUACGGGGGGCAGCAGUGGGGAAUAUUGCACAAUGGGCGCAAGCCUGAUGCAGCGACGCCGCGUGCGGGAUGGAGGCCUUCGGGUUGUAAACUGCUUUUGUUCAAGGGCAAGGCACGGUCUUUGGCCGUGUUGAGAGGAUUGUUCGAAUAAGCACCGGCUAACUACGUGCCAGCAGCCGCGGUAAUACGUAGGGUGCAAGCGUUAUCCGGAUUUAUUGGGCGUAAAGGGGUCGGAGGCGGUUCGUCGCGUCCGGUGUGAAAGUCCAUCGCUUGACGGGGGAUCCGCGCCGGGAACGGGCG
rnacentral:rRNA from 1 species